rnacentral:rRNA from 1 species
AUUGAACGCUGGCGGCAUGCUUUACACAUGCAAGUCGAACGGCAGCGCGGGCUUCGGCCUGGCGGCGAGUGGCGAACGGGUGAGUAAUGCAUCGGAACGUGCCCAGUAGUGGGGGAUAGCUCGGCGAAAGCCGGAUUAAUACCGCAUACGACCUGAGGGUGAAAGCGGGGGAUCUUCGGACCUCGCGCUAUUGGAGCGGCCGAGGGCAGAUUAGCUAGUUGGUGGGGUAAAGGCCUACCAAGGCGACGAUCUGUAGCUGGUCUGAGAGGACGACCAGCCACACUGGGACUGAGACACGGCCCAGACUCCUACGGGAGGCAGCAGUGGGGAAUUUUGGACAAUGGGCGAAAGCCUGAUCCAGCAAUGCCGCGUGUGUGAUGAAGGCCUUCGGGUUGUAAAGCACUUUUGGCGGGAACGAAAAGGACUGUGCCAAUACCACGGUUCGAUGACGGUACCCGCAGAAUAAGCACCGGCUAACUACGUG